AAUGUAUGAAGAAAGUUAAAAUGUAUAUUAUCUAUAAAGGAUGCAGAGGGGCACAUAUGCUGAAAAUUUUGCUAUGUUUCUAGAGGUGCUAUGUGUGUAUUUAAUUCAAAUGAUUAUAUUCAGCUUCAUACUGAUUUUUAUGAAUAAGUGAUACAUUAAUUCAGUUAUUUAAAACAUUAAUAACACAUUAUUGUUACAUUGCUGCAAUGCUCACGGUUGUCAUCCUGUUCUAGAUAAACGCUACUUCACCUAAGAGACUUGAGUAUCCAGUUCUUCAUUGACCUUCAGCAUUCAGUUGUUUAUCUUCACCUUUUCAGGUUUUUCUGUGUCCAGCAUCUUCAAGACAGACUAAGCUAACUUUUCAUAUUUUUUGCACAUUUAUAUUUAGGUUAGGUUUAUAGUAGAGUAUUUAGUUUGUAUAGUUUAGCUUUUUAUGCUGGUCUAGGGACAGUUAAGUUAGCAAAUUAAUUUAGUUCAGAUCACUUACAGUUGCAUAUUAUUGUUACAAUUGUGUUAUUUUGUGAGUUAUUGUUGUACAGGCUAUUGUAUAUUGCAGGACCAAGUGAGACGAGGAAGACCACUGCUUCGAAGAUGCCGCUCAGAAAGUGCGUUGGACAAGUCUCGACCUUGCAGAUCCUGCCCCACUUAGCCCAACCACUUCCAACCAUGGGGUACCUCAAAGACCUCCAUCAACCAGCCGGCUGUGGAUGAUGGAUAACGGACCCACAACUCCUUCUCCAGUCUACAAGGUUCUGAAAAUACAGACACCCCCACAGUCCAAGAACAGCUGGAUGACCUCUGGACCCACUUGCCCCCGUUCACCGGUUGA